GCCGGGGGCAAAGCGCUGUCUAAAAAUGCCCCUUCUCGUGCGGGGCAGCACAAAGCCAGGCGUGCUCAAACUUGGCCGGUGCUGACGGCCACCGUGAUCCUUGAUCUUGCCCAACUCCUAAGCCGAGACUCUGUUUCCUAAAAAGAAGGACCAUGGACUACAUUUGAUCUGUUGGAUUACGCUUUGGGUACCUGCAUCCUGGAGAGAAGCCAGAAAUCUCUCUCCAUCUUCAUUAGUAGAAUAUCCCUUAACGUUUUAGGCCUCUUGCCUUCAUCUGUCCUGGGCUGAAAUCCUGUGAUUCUCCCACUCUGACUAGUCCUUAAGGUUUCUGGGGCUGGAUAAUUGGACUGAGCAGGAGCACUGGGGAGUCAGAGUGAUAUGCUGGGUAUUGGUGCAGUGAGGCAGCAAAAAGCCUGCUGAUCAAGCCUUUUCUUCACAUCCUGCCUUCUUGACUCCAUAACUCAGUUCAUUAGCUAUCCUCCUUACUGCCUAAUAUGCCUCCCUGGUUACGUCUACACUGCAAAACCAAAAUAAAAUCCCCCACAACAGCAAGUCUCAGAGUCUCUGGUCCAUAGUCUCAGGUUUGUGCUAUGGCACUAAAAGUAGCAAUGUAGACAUUCCCUCCCACUCAGGCUGGAGCUCAGGCUCUGAUACCCCCCACCCCCUCCUCACCAGGUUUCAUAACCUGAGUGGGAGCAUCUACACGACUAUGUUUCGCACAGUAGCACAAACCUCACAAGCCUGAGUCUGUAGACUUGGGCUCUAUGACUCUGCCAUGGGUUAUUUUGUUUGCUUAUUUGUUUGCAGUGUAUGUGUGCCCCCUGGCUUCUCUACCUGCUAGUUCAGAGGCUGUUGCUCAUCCCAAAGUUACCUACAGUCUACACAAAUCUGAAGUCUCUUCACUCUUGGUGUUGUAAAUUAACAUCAGAAAUUAAAAUCAUGAAGCUGAAGUUACAGAAAUAGUUAUUUACAGUAAGAGAAGGGGUUCUCUGCAUGAAUAAUUUGAGUCUCUCCUUUUGUGUCUUUGAUAAACAUUUGAGUCUUAGCAGGUUGAGAGGUACGCCUAGUUGUUUUUAUGCCUCCUGCAAGCCUUUCACAGAUUUGCUAAGAUACACUAGCAAUAAAGUAUCUCAAAGUGGCUUUCCAUUUUGUCAAAUUUAGGAAGUCUGUCAGAGAAAGAAGCUGCUCCUUAGAGAAGAUAGGUUGCAAUGAAACAUAGGUUGAUGGUGUCAAGAUUGGAUAAUGAGACAUUAUCAGUGCAUCUCACUGUAAGUUCUCAAGUCAUUUUGAAAAUAUAAUAAAGCUUGUUAGCUGUCACGUCCAAAUAACUAUGGACCUAAUUGGUGUAAUUUAUUUUUAAUUAAAUACAUGGCACUUGCCUUUUUCUCUAAAAUACCCUGGCUGUUUCCAUCUAAUUAAGCUCCUGUUACCUUCCUACCUAUUCCAAUAAUUACCUUCAUUAUUGCAAUGCCUCUGUACAGCAUUCAAUGUGUCUGGCUCCGAGGGCAUUAUAUUAUAAAAUGGGUGCAGUGUAUAUGUUUCUAACUGACUUUUGAAAGUGCAUACAUCAAAUGUAAUUUCCUUUUAAAUCAUAGCCUUGCAGCAAGUGACCUUAAAAGCUAUGUCAAUAUUUGCUUGAUGUAAAAUCAUUUUGUCCAAAGACACUUGUCCCUGCUGAUUUAACUAUAUAAAGAAAAAGGGAAUAAAGAAAGGAACCUCAGGCAAACAUUUACUGGUGUAUAGUAAAGUAUCAUGUUCAGAUAGCAUAUUCUGAAAUGUACCCGGUUACAUUAGGUGAGGGAAAGAUUGUAUGUUUUUCUUUUGUUUUAUAACUGAUGCUUAGAAUUAUUAUUCAUACCAUGCACUGCAACUCAGUAAGAAAUCUCUAACUGGUCAUUUCAUCGGAUCAUGUGUUUGUGAAGUACACCAGAAAAAAAAAAUUGUUGCUAAGAGAUUAGGAUUCAGCAAAGCACGUAAGCACAUGUUUAGUGGUCCCUUGUGACCUUAAUCUAUUAAUCUUUUUUGUGAAUCUUAAAUUGCAGAAUUUCCCAUUUCUUCCAUUAUGUCCAUGAAGAACAGUGAAACCAUCCAUUCCAUGUAAUAUAAGCCAAAGAGUGUAGCUGUUAUCUGAGAUUUAUUACUGAUUCUCAUAUUGGAUAUUUGAUUCAGCCAGGGCUUAAAGAACAGCUCAUGCUUUUGAAGACUUAAAAUGUGGAAAUGAGUAUCGUAGUGGUCUUGCAUGUCAGGGCUUUCUGGUGAUGGCUCUGUUAUGUUCUAAUCUAGCAAUGUAUAUUCUUCUGGUUCAUCUGUCUCUCUCAAGGCCCCCAUCUUUGCCUGAGGAGUUUACCAAAGCAUGAUAGCAAUGCAAUCUUCAAAAUAAGUCCUUGAUCCUGCUGUGACGCACGUACAUGCUUAACUUUACACACUGUUCAUGGGACUUCAAUGGGACUACUCACAUUGCAUGUUAAGCACGUGUGUAAAUCAUUGUAGGAUCAGGGCUUAAGAUGUUAACAACAUGAUUCAAUGUUUUGCCCCUUGACUUCAAAACAUGCAGUGUAAUAGUGGAAGAACUUUUAUAUCUACCUAUUUGUGCAUGUGGAAAAAAUACACAUACGUGAAUGCAAUAUAAGCAGUACGUAUGUCAUACAAGAGGCUUCUAUGACUUCCAUAUAAACUAUUUUUAAGGAUGGUCCAGUGGUUAGGGCGCUAGCCAAGAAUUUAGGCCAGGGUGGGCAAACUUUUUGGCCCAACGGCCACAUCGGGGUGGAAAUUGCAUGCAGGGCCAUGGAUG